AGCAGUCGCCGCGGUAAAACGUAGGGUGCAAGCGUUAAUCGGAAUUACUGGGCGUAAAGCGUGCGCAGGCGGUUAUAUAAGACAGAUGUGAAAUCCCCGGGCUCAACCUGGGAACUGCAUUUGUGACUGUAUAGCUAGAGUACGGCAGAGGGGGAUGGAAUUCCGCGUGUAGCAGUGAAAUGCGUAGAUAUGCGGAGGAACACCGAUGGCGAAGGCAAUCCCCUGGGCCUGUACUGACGCUCAUGCACGAAAGCGUGGGGAGCAAACAGGAUUAGAUACCCCAGUAGUCCCUGUCUCUUAUAA
rnacentral:rRNA from 1 species